rnacentral:siRNA from 1 species
UUGCAACGAAACGUGCUUUGUACC